rnacentral:pre_miRNA from 1 species
AACAAUAGGGCACCUCUCUCCUGGCAAGUAAAAAGGGCUCAGUGCCAAUAACUUGCCAAAGGAGAGUUGCCCUGUGGCU